UCAUAAAUACGAGAGACCCAGCGACGUCAUACGUCAUAUGACUCGAUACUACAUACCUACACUAUUUAUUGGCUGGAUCAAUGUCACAAAUUCAAUUUGCUCGUAUUGCACGUAUAUUUCACGAAAUAUAAACAAAAAAUUAUCGUGAAUUUUUUAAUACUUGAAAAAAUUUUUAGUUUGUUUUACUUUUCAAUUCCUACCUUUUGUAUAAAUUUUAGUAACCAAAUUCAAAUGAAAAUUUGUUGUAAAACCAAUUCAAUUCCAGCAUCAAGUCUACAUCUUCAGAUAUUUAUACUACAGGUCGUAUAGAUGCGCAUUAAGAUCUAAAACGAUGAACUUCGAUAACAAUGUGAGACACCGAGCCAGACCAAUACUCCUACGUCAAGCAGAAAUAUCGCCCGUGGACCAGCCACCGUAUUGUCCCCGGCGCCGACCAAGCAUCAAGAGAAUAAUAUGGACAACUAUUAAAUACGUUCUAUUCAUCGCUGUACUUUUCGCUCUAGUGCUGGUAUCGGGAAAAUGGAUUUUACCGCUUGUACGUCGUUAUAGCGCAUCCAAACGGUUGAAACGGUGUCAUCAAACCUACCAGACUGUUUCCAGCUACGUUUCAUCUCUAUUCUUCAAACUGCUACCGACUAGGCUAUCAGCCAAAUCCGUUCGUUGAUGACGUCCAAGAUCAGAAAAGCCAUCGCCAAAGUAUUUUCUUCCAAAAGUGACAGCGAUGCGGGUGAAAAUAACAUACUGUUAAAUUUAUUCGGCGUAAUUGCAGUACGAAAAAAUGACCAGUACAUCAAACAUGUUGCUUCGCCGCCUAAAAUACACAUACCGCAAGUUCCCUUUCGAUCUAACCGAAAUCAUUGGACAGCGUCUUCGUUUGAGAAAAUCAAAAGUAUUCUUAAACGUUGGAAUAAUAUUAUGGAAUUUAUGCUUACUAUUUAGAUAGGUAUCGUUAUAUUUGUCCACUUUCUAACUAAACCGAAUAAAAAUUUUUCGUGAAA